rnacentral:rRNA from 1 species
CAGUAGCCGCGGUAAUACGUAGGGUGCAAGCGUUAAUCGGAAUUACUGGGCGUAAAGCGUGCGCAGGCGGUUUUGUAAGUCUGUCGUGAAAUCCCCGGGCUUAACCUGGGAACUGCAUUUGUGACUGGCGAGCUAGAGUAUGGCAGAGGGGGGUAGAAUUCCGCGUGUAGCAGUGAAAUGCGUAGAUAUGUGGAGGAACACCGAUGGCGAAGGCAGCCCCCUGGGCUAAGAUUGACGCUCAUGCACGAAAGCGUGGGGAGCAAACAGGAUUAGAUACCCCAGUAGUCCCUGUCUCUUAUAC